GUACUAGCUGUCAGCUGCUGGAGACCUUGCUUUCUGUUUCACUGGGAAACAGAAGCAAUCAGAAGGAAACUUCCUCAGACUCCACCUCUCCCUUCACUCCCGCCUGUAUCCGUGCCUGUUACCUGGACGCCUUGUGGAACUUGAAUUCUACGCCCUCCACUGGGACACUGCCCUUCAUCCUCUCUCACCUCCUCCAGGACAACACUCUCUCUGUGGGGCUUUCACCCCCAUCGCUCCACUGAAACUGCUCUUGUCAAGGUCAUCGAUGACCUCCCGCUGACAAACUCAACUGUCCCAUCUCUACACCCCAAACUGACCCAUCAGGAAUAGCAUGAGCUCCACCUUCCAAAGCUUCCGCAAUCUCACCGUCUCCACCGUUACUACCUGUGUCCGAGGCACCACUGUUUCUUGCCUGGAGUUGUAGACGGGAUUUCACCGUGUUAGCCAGGAUGGUCUCGAUCUCCUGACCUCGUGAUCCGCCUGUCUCGACCUCCCAAAGUGCUGGGAUUACAGAAUGUUGUAGUCCUCAUCAUCAGCAGAGACUUUGUGCCAUCCUCUGCUAUAUUAUCCUGAAGAGUGCCUGGCUCAUGCUGCAGUGUUCUGAAUAGCAGUCCAGCUAUGAGGGGAGGUGCCCGUGGCAGGCCUCAGCUGACCCUGGAGAGGCCAUUAAGACCUGGCUGUCGCCUCCACAGCUGCUCGGAGGCAGGUGUUCAAUAAAUGACAGACGCUACCAUCACAGAUUACCAAUGUUACAAAACUGUAAACAGAGAAAGGUGGCUUUGUAAGAAGAAAAGAGAUCAUUCUUUUUCCACCAUGUGAGGACCCAGCAAGAGGGUGGCUGUCUGCAAACCCAGGGAGAGAGCCCUCACCAGGAAUCUGCUGGCACCUUAAUCUUGGACUUCCCAGCCUCCACAACUGUGAGGAAUAAAUGUAUGUUGUUUAAGCCA
rnacentral:lncRNA from 1 species